CCUACGGGAGGCAGCAGUGAGGAAUAUUGGUCAAUGGGCGGAAGCCUGAACCAGCCAAGUCGCGUGCGGGAUGAAGGCCCUACGGGUCGUAAACCGCUUUUGCCCGGGGAUAACACCCUCCACUUGUGGAGGUCUGCAGGUACCGUGCGAAUAAGGGCCGGCAAAUUCCGUGCCAGCAGCCGCGGUAAUACGGAAGGCCCGAGCGUUUUCCGGUUUCAUUGGGCUUAAAGGGAGCGUAGGCGGGCGUUCAAGUCCGCUGUAAAAUUUGGGGGCUCAACCCCUCCCCGCGGUUGAAACUGGGCGCCUUGAGUUCACAACAGGCAGGCGGAAGUGGGGGGGUAGCGGGGAAAUGCAUAGAUAUCACGAGGAACCCCGAUUGCGAAGGCAGCCUGCCGGGGUGCGACUGACGCUGAGGCUCGAAGGUGCGGGUAUCAAACAGGAUUGGAUACCGCAGUAGU
rnacentral:rRNA from 1 species